rnacentral:Y_RNA from 1 species
GGAGGGUCUGAAGUUAUCACAGUAAGUUAUCUCAAUUGAUUGUUCACAGUCAGUUACAGAUCGAAUUCCUUUGUUCCACUCUUUCCCCAUCCUUCUCACUACUGCACUUGACUAGCCAAAA